GGACCCGCACAAGUAGUGGAGCAUGUGGUUUAAUUCGAAGAUACGCGCAGAACCUUACCAACACUUGACAUGUUCGUCGCGACUUUAAGAGAUUAAAGUUUUCGGUUCGGCCGGACGAAACACAGGUGCUGCAUGGCUGUCGUCAGCUCGUGUCGUGAGAUGUUGGUUAAGUCCCGCAACGAGCGCAACCCUCACUUUUAGUUGCCAUCAUUAAGUUGGGCACUCUGAAAGAACUGCCAGUGAUAAGCUGGAGGAAGGUGGGGAUGACGUCAAGUCCUCAUGGCCCUUACGUGUUGGGCUACACACGUGCUACAAUGGUCGGUACAGAAAGCAGCCACUAUGCGAAUAGGAGCU
rnacentral:rRNA from 1 species